UCCUUGUCCGAAUAAAAACAAGAGGCUCCGUACUCAUAGGAAGCCCGACUGCAAGCAAUGACGGUGUUGGACUGUUGGUAGAAACAAGCCGAAAAUUGCCCUUCCUCUAAGGCUUCCCUUCGGAGCUCAGGGAGUCCGCCCCAGCGCCGAAUCCAGCUUUUGUGGGAGAGCCUAACGCGUUCUGCAAUGGAAGAGGUUUCCCCAGCUAAUCAACAAACACACCUGGCAGAAUUACAGCUCACUAACUGCGUGCUUUGAGAGGUCAUUUCAGAAACAUGUAUUUCCUGAAAAGCAGAUUUCUCCGGGAAAAUAAGGGGUUUUCUACUCAGUGAGAACAGAGUUUUAAAAGGAGGAAAUACCAGCAAGCAAGCACUCAUACACAGCAUGCUAAAUGCGAAAAGGCUUUUAAAAGAGCAUAUUUUCGCCAGUUUAAGUCAGAACGAAAACGCACCAUGAAAAAAAGGGUACUCGGGACAAACCAACCCCACCGGCCUUACUUCCAAAAAGUUGUGGGCAGACGAUCUUUUGUUUGAAUCCAUCACACAAAAACCAAAAUAAAAUUAAAAAUAAAAAUUGCUCCAGGCUUAGUUAUAUUUACAUUUUGUAGCAUGGGUUA